rnacentral:rRNA from 1 species
UUGGGGGCAACUCCAAACUAGUGGCAAACGGGUGAGUAAUGCAGAGGAACCUCCCUAACAGUAAGGAAUAAUUUUGGGAAACCAAAACUAAUACCAUAUAUUACCGACCUAGUCGGGAAAGAUACGUCGCUGUUAGAUGGGCCUCUGUCAGAUUAGCUAGUUGGUGAGGUAAAUGCUCACCAAGGCGAUGAUCUGUAGCUGGUCUGAGAGGAUGAUCAGCCACACUGGAACUGAGACACGGUCCAGACUCC